CGACUCCGAGAAGCACAACGCGCCGCCACACAUAUUCCUGCAGCUGGAGAUUCUAAGUCCAUCAUCACGUGUCGGGUGUCCCUUCUGGAUGGUACUGAUGUUAGUGUGGACUUGCCAAAAAAAGCCAAAGGACAAGAGUUGUUUGAUCAGAUUAUGUACCACCUGGACCUGAUUGAAAGCGACUAUUUUGGUCUGAGAUUUAUGGAUUCAGCACAAGUAGCACAUUGGUUGGAUGGUACAAAAAGCAUCAAAAAGCAAGUAAAAAUUGGUUCACCCUAUUGUCUGCAUCUUCGAGUUAAGUUUUAUUCCUCAGAACCAAAUAACCUUCGUGAGGAGCUAACCCGGUAAGAACACCAUCUAGAAUUGUGCCAGGGUUAUUUUGAUAGUUUUGAAAGACUGUCUUUAUAUUGUUUCCAAUUUAUAGCCAGCUAAUAAAAUGGAUUCCUGUCCCCUGGUAACAAGACCUCAAAUAAUAGAAUUUUAUUCUGGGACGUGUUUUUUAAGUGUAUGAUUCUUUUCCUUUAGCAUUUUCAAAAUAAAGAGUUGGUUUCUUAGCAUCCUCCAAA
rnacentral:lncRNA from 10 species